rnacentral:rRNA from 1 species
AUUGAACGCUGGCGGCAUGCCUUACACAUGCAAGUCGAACGGUAACAGGUCUUCGGAUGCUGACGAGUGGCGAACGGGUGAGUAAUACAUCGGAACGUGCCUAGUAGUGGGGGAUAACUACUCGAAAGAGUGGCUAAUACCGCCUGAGAUCUACGGAUGAAAGCAGGGGAACGUAAGAACUUGUGCUACUAGAGCGGCCGAUGGAAGACUAGAUAGUUGGUGGGAUAAAAGCUUACCAAGCCGACGAUCUGUAGCUGGUCUGAGAGGACGAUCAGCCACACUGGGACUGAGACACGGCCCAGACUCCUACGGGAGGCAGCAGUGGGGAAUUUUGGACAAUGGGCGCAAGCCUGAUCCAGCAAUGCCGCGUGCAGGAUGAAGGCCUUCGGGUUGUAAACUGCUUUUGUACGGAACGAAAAGCCCUGGGUUAAUACCCUGGGGUCAUGACGGUACCGUAAGAAUAAGCACCGGCUAACUACGUGCCAGCAGCCGCAGUAAGAC